rnacentral:rRNA from 1 species
GACGAACGCUGGCGGCGUGCUUAACACAUGCAAGUCGAGCGGUAAGGCCCUUUCGGGGGUACACGAGCGGCGAACGGGUGAGUAACACGUGGGUGACCUGCCCUCAGCUCUGGGAUAAGCCUGGGAAACUGGGCCUAAUACUGGAUAUGACUCCACGGUGCAUGUCGUGGGGUGGAAAGCCUUGUGCGGCUGAGGAUGGGCCCGCGGCCUAUCAGCUUGUUGGUGGGGUGAUGGCCUACCAAGGCGACGACGGGUAGCCGGCCUGAGAGGGCGACCGGCCACACUGGGACUGAGACACGGCCCAGGCUCCUACGGGAGGCAGCAGUGGGGAAUCUUGCGCAAUGGGCGAAAGCCUGACGCAGCGACGCCGCGUGAGGGAUGACGGCCU